GAGUUUCGAUCCUGGCUCAGGACGAACGCUGGCGGUGCGCCUUAUGCAUGCAAGUUGAGCGAAGCUUUUUGGUAGUUUACUACUAGAAAUGACUGAGCGGCGAACGGGUGAGUAACGCGUGAGCAAUCUACCUUAGUUACUGGGAUAGCCCGAGGAAACUCGGAUUAAUACCAGAUAUUCUUAUUUUUUCACAUGAAGUUUUAAGGAAAGGUCAGCCGAACUAAGAUGAGCUCGCGUUCUAUCAGCUAGUUGGUGGGGUAAAAGCCUACCAAGGCUACGACGGAUAGCUGGUCUGAGAGGACGAUCAGCCACACUGGGACUGAGACACGGCCCAGACUCCUACGGGAGGCUGCAGCAGGGAAUAUUGUGCAAUGAGCGAAAGCUUGACACAGCGACACCGCGUGUGGGAUGACGGUUCUAGGAUUGUAAACCACUUUCAGGAGGGAAGAAAAUGACGGUACCUCCAUAAGAAGACCCGGCCAACUAUGUGCCAGCAGCCGCGGUAAUACAUAGGGGUCAAGCGUUGUCCGGAUUUAUUGGGCGUAAAGAGCUCGUAGGCGGUUCAACAAGUCGGUCGUAAAAGUUUAGGGCUCAACCCUAAAAUGUCGAUCGAUACUGUUGUGACUAGGAUACGGUAGAGGUGAAUGGAAUUCCGAGUGUAGCGGUGAAAUGCGUAGAUAUUCGGAGGAACACCAAUUGCGAAGGCAGUUCACUGGACCGUGAUCGACGCUGAGGAGCGAAAGCUAGGGGAGCAAACAGGAUUAGAUACCCUGGUAGUCCUAGCUGUAAACGAUGGAUACUAGAUGUAGGAACUGGAUUGACGGU
rnacentral:rRNA from 1 species